rnacentral:lncRNA from 1 species
CCCAGGAACUAUGUAUCGCCGACCCUUUCAUUUAUAUAUGCACAUGCGGAAGCAGUUAUAAUUCCCCAGACAAUAAAGCAAUGGGAUAGAAAAGCAGGCCAUACAUUUUUCAUACCGAAAAUUCACAACUACAUCUUUUUACAUUCAAACAAGGUCUGACAAGAUAGGAUAGGAUCUCGGUCCUCAUCCGGGUCAUACUCGAUGUCAUACUCGGGGUCCUCCUCCACGUACUCCUCUUUGGGUUCCUCAACAGAGAUCUCCUCAUCAGAUUCAUGCUCCUCAAGCUCCUUAUCCAGGUCCUGAAAUGGUUAUUCAAUAACCACUGAGACCACGUCUCAGCAAGUUCUACUUCCUAAGACCCGAUUAGUAAACUAAUACACCUUAGGGCUGCCUAUACACAACAUGAGUCAGAGGACUUACCUUGGCCUCAGAUUCCACCUGCAUGUUAGCACAUAUCAAAUAGGCACACAAGCAAUUACAUCACAGAUCGAAGCAUCGAUCUAAUCGACUUAGUCGAUUUCACAUCAGGAAGACCACUCACGAUCAUCUCCCUUCAAUCAUUCAAUUCACAACAUCAAACCAAGGCAAUGCAUCACAUCAAGUCACACUCAGAUCGAAUAAUCGAUCAAUCGACCUAGUCGAUUACAAGUCAAUCAGACCAUCUCAUGGUCAUUUCCAAUCAAUCUGCCCAUUCACAACAUCAGAUCAAGCAAUGAUCAAUCGACCUAGUCGAUUUCAUAUCAACAAGACCACUUCCGGUCAUUUCAACUAUUCCAAUUCAAUUCCCAAUUAUGAAUUACGGUCCUUAGGACACAACUUAAUUAUAGGUGGUAAUCAUGGCCCCACCAAGCAAUUUUCUUAGAUUUAGUGGCAUCACGGCCCCACCCGGCAACUUUUAAUAUGUAGUGGUAUCACGGCCCCACUCGGCAAUGCUAUAUGUAGUGGCAUCACGGCCCCACUCGGCAACUUUCAAUAUGUAGUGGCAUCACGGCCCCACUCGGCAAUGUUAUAUGUAGUGGCAUCACGGCCCCACUCGGCAACUUUCAAUAUGUAGUGGCAUCACGGCCCCACUCGGCAAUGUCAUAUGUAGUGGCAUCACGGCCCCACUCGGCAAUGUUAUAUGUAGUGGCAUCACGGCCCCACUCGGCAACUUUCAAUAUGUAGUGGCAUCACGGCCCCACUCGGCAAUUAUGUAUGUAGUGGCAUUAUCAACCGAUGCCCGGUUAUUCUUCAAUUAAUAACCAAAGAUGAUUCAAUUUAGGAAUAAAUCCUAAAAUCAUUGAUAAAUCAAUUUAGCACAAAAUCAAGCUCAAUUAAAUAAACAGACUGUACAACGACAAUCAGCACGAAAUUUCGGUCGCUGGCAAUCCCAGUUGAAUUUUCGGAAAAAUAAAUAAUUAAACAAUUAAUUCCGAAAAUUAAAUAAAUACAUACAAUAAAUUCAAUUUAGCAUAAUAUAAAACUCAAUUAAAUAAACGGACUGCACCACGAUCAUCAGCAUAAUAUUCUGGUUCCGGACCAUCUCAGUUGAAUUUUCGGAAAAUAAAUAAUUAUUUAAUUUAAUUCCGAAAAUUAAUAUUAAAAUACCAAAAAUCUCACUUAUGCCCAAAUUGCCUAAUUAACACCCGAUAAGGGUCGGGAAAAAUCCCACAAAGCAUCCAAUAAAUACUACAUGCAAUUCUCUAUCUAAUUACACUAAUCACACCACCAAUAUACAAAGCAAUUAACUAAUAAUCACUAAUCAAUUCUAAUCUAACAACCUAAUUACACUUAAUUAACACUAAUCAACCUUUAAGUAUAAUUAGCAAACUAAGAAGGCAUUAGUGAGUAAAACUCACUCAAAACGACGGGCUCGACGCGAGGAUCGACUUUCCUCAAAGCGGGCCGAGCAUCCGGGCUCGGGAAGGUGGCCAAAACGGGCCAAACAGUUGCUGCAAACCCAUUUUCUGACUUCUCUGAUCGCUACUGGAAGGGGCGGAUUCGGGGCUAAUUCGAGCUAGCCAAGGCCGGUGGAGGGCGAGGGGACUCCGACGGGUCGAAGUGGCGGCGCAUGGCGGCCGGAGGUGGCUGAACCGUGGCUUGUGCUGGCCAAAAUGGAGCUGAACAGAGGCGGAACAGGGGUUGGACAGCAGCUCUGGAACAGCGAGCUGGGCGAGAGGGAGACCGAGCUGAGCGAAGCAGCGGCGGAGCGCACGGCGUCGCGCGGGCGGCGGUGCGGCAGCUCCGGUCCAACAACGCCAGCUGCUGCCCCAACUCCGAUGUCUUCCCAGAUCUGAGAUCCCGAGCAGCAAACGGAGAUGGAGGAAAGAAGGCUUAGACGGCAGUUGAGGAGGGUGAGGAAGGCGAAGGGCGAGCGGUGCUCGGCGGAGCUUGCGGGCGGUGAUAGUGCAGCGACGGUAGUUCUGGUUCGGCCACUAGGUUGACGACAAGCUGCUGCCUUCGUUCCUGCUUCUGUUGGUUCGAACGUCCAAGAGGGAGAGGAAGAGAGAGGGACGGAGCUGUGCACGGGCAGCAGGACGGCGGACGGCAGCGACUCCGGCUCCGGCUGCUUGCUGCGACGGUGCCGAGAGGAAUCGCUGCUGCUUCGACCUGCUGGUUCACUGGUCUUCCGUUUCCAUGGAGUCGCACAACCGAAGAAGAAGAUGGGAAGAGAGAGACAGCGACGGGAGAGAGGAGGGGAGAAGAGAAAACCAAUUUUUUCUUCUUUCUCUCUCUCUCUCUCUCUCUCUCUUAGGUCAGCCAUACGUGGGCCACCAUGGCUGUCAUCCACCCACAUUUCUAGCCCAAAACUACCCCUUCUAGAAGCCCUUAGAUAGGCCAAAAUGUGGGGGUAAGUGUGGCAUACGAAUUUUGCUAGGGUUUCUCUCCAAUUGGGCCUUAAUUCCUCUUGAAUUAAAUCAAAUUAAUUCCCAUAAUUUCAUUCAACACCUCAUCAUUCCAAUUGGUAUUUUUCCUUACCAAUGUAGCCCACUUGCAUCCCAAUUUCACAAUCCCUGGCUUCAAUUGAACGAAAACGGCCCUAUUAUCCAGUCGAAAUUAGAACCCGAAAAUCUGGAUGUCACAAUUAAUCUCACUAAGAAUCCAAUUUUACAUUCAAGAGCAAAGCACAUAAAGAUUCGACACCAUUUUAUUAGAGACCAUGUUCAAAACGGAGAAGUCUUAAUUCAAUUCAUUGACUCAAAGAAUCAGCUGAAGGACAUUUUUACAAAACCACUAGAGAAAAAUCUAUUGAGUCUAUUCGCUCCAUACUUAAUAUCUUAAAGUCUGAAGAAGUUCAGACUCAAGAAUAAAAGUCUGAAGAUGCUCAGACUCAAAAGACCAAAAGUUACGACUAUAAGUUAUUUCAGUUCUAGCAAUUUAGCUUUCGGAUAAAAACUCGAAAAGGUACGGUUGCUUAUUAAUCGGCAAUUAUUAUCUUCCCAAGUUUUUGAAAUUGUAACAAUUAUUCUUUUUCGAAAAGGAAGUUAUUUUUUUUAAGAUGACAAUUAUCUAUCUUCAAAAAGGCAGUUAUUUUUUUAAAUAUUUUUUUUUCCUUUUAUGACGAUUCGUAUACUUCGUUUCGACUGCUUUAUAUACUAUCUUUCUUCUUCAUUUUUACUCACAAACCCUAGAGCACAAAACUUCACCUUCUAACUUUUUCUCUCUAGUUUAAUCCUUAAAGUUUUCAUCUUUCUCGCGAAUCGAGUUCGGAAAUUCUCUCAAAGACUGUGAUAAUGUCUUCCUAAAGGAAGUCCUCAAGGAUUGCAAGCAGGGGACCACAACAUAUGCGUGAGGGUCCACGCACUUCAAUCUGACCAAGGAAGAAGACUCUUCAAGGUAGCAGCAAAGUCAACAACAACAUUCUCAACCGCGCUAUUCUUCUCAGGCUAGACCACAAGAGUCUCCAUUGCAACAGGCAGAGGAAGAAAUUAUUGAGGAUGUCGAACCUAUAAGGACUCUUAAGCCUGCUUUUACUUUCAAACUCUACACCGCCCUGAAGGAAGGUGGUUCUCAGAUGACCUUUAUUGAUGAAUUUUUGAAAGAAAAAUGGUACUGAAGUUAAACCUAUUUUUUAAGAACGAUGGAACGUUUGGGAAUUGCUCAUGCUGGUUCGGUAGAAAGGGCUUUUGCGAAAUUCCCAAGUGAUCCACGUUUUGGAGGAUUUAAUCAACCAGAAGGAAAAGAUGAUGAUGAGAAAUUGUUCACUCAUUUAAACCUAGAAUGGGUGUUGCUGCGAAUAUUCGAGGAAAAAUGCCAGAUUUGUUUCGUUCUGAGGAGCAUAAGCGUUUACUCUAAGUUGCUGAAGCGAGGGGUGAUGAACCCAAGGAAUGUGGAUUUUAAUUUUCUCGAUUCUCUGAACAUGAAGUUACGGGAGAAAUUUGCUUUACUUCAACUAGAACGUUUUUGCUCUGAGACAGCUGUAGCUCAUCCAGAACUUACCACGUAGUUCUAUUCCAAUAUAAGCUUUUUAGAUACGAAUAGAUUUUCAUUCAGUGUUAGAGACCAGGAUUAUGUGGUUGAUAUGAACACUCUGGCUGAUGUGAUUGGAGUGGAGAGAGGGAUAUUCCAAUCAAUUAGUGUGUCUAUUAGUCAUCUACUAUGGAGCUUGUUCGAGACAUAAUUGCAUAAGGCCGGAUUUCGUAUUUGAGGAUGAGUGCCUUAAAUGUCUUACUCCAUAAGAUAGUAAUUAAUUGUCUUAGACCCAAAUCCACAUCAAAGACUAAUGUCUCCAAUUUUGAAGCGAAGCUGAUGUACGCCAUCAAUAUUGGUUACAAGUUCUCUCUGCCACACACUAUCAUGUUCCACAUGUAUAGGUCAAUGGUAAAGGAUAAGGGGCAACUUCUCUAUUCAACUCUUGUUACUCGUCUAUUCAGACGUCUUAAUAUUCAGCCUCCUAAAAUUAUGAAUGUUUGAACUUGUGAUCCAAUGGUGGUAGGACUGAAGAUGGUUUUGAAGAUGCAUUUGAAAGAGCUAAACAAGGCUUUAGAGCGUUUUAAGGAGAAGACCCCUAUCAAGACUCAUCAAGAUCCUGUGGCAGCAAAACGGAAAGGCAAGGACCCCAUGACAGCUCCAUCUAAGAAGAAGAGAGCACUCAUCUUGCAGGAUGAAGAAGAUGAGGAUGACAUCACCAUUUCCACUCUUGCCUUAAAGAACUUAUAGCAUUUGUUCCAGAAACAGAGGAUAGAGAGAACCAAGACAGAGAGGAAACAGAACAGAGAAGUGAAAAAAGGGAAUCGAUGAGGAAAGAAGAAGAAGAAGGAAGAACUGCAAAAGAAGAGCAAAGAGGAGAACGAACAGAAGGAGAAAGUCAUGGUGAUUCUCCAGCAGAGGAUGAAGGACAAAGUCAUCAAGGGAUUGAAGAAGAACCAAAGCACGAAGAGUACUUCUAUCACGCCCCGAUCCUCGGACACACACACAUCCUUCUUACUUGGUCGAUUUUAUAAUGAGAUAUCCCAUGACUAUGUAUCGUCGACCCUUUCUUUUAUUAAGCACAUGCGGAAGCAGUUAUAAAUCCCCAGACAGUAAAUCGAUGGGAUAGAAAAGUAAGGCCAUAUUUUUCAUAUUGAAAUUCACAACCAUUCUUUUAUACAGAACAUAACUCAAAGAACUUCACAAAACUAUUCACAACUUUCUAACUUCACUCUAUUCACAUCAAAACAGGAUUCCCAAAAGAGGAUGGGACCUCAGUCCUCAUUCGGUCGUACUCAGGAUCCCUUUCUGGAUCAUCUUCUUCUUCAAAAAUCUUUCUUCUCCUCAGGUUUCACUUCAGUGUUCUCCUUCUUCGAUUCCUCCUCCUCGGGUUCAUCUACGGGCCUGAAAUGUUGUCCCACAACCGGAAUAAGACUACGUCUCAGUGACUCCUACCCCACUAAGGUCCGAUUAGUAAACCAUUAUACUAUAGGCUGCUUAAACACACACAGGUCAGAGGACUUACCUUGGCCUCA